rnacentral:rRNA from 1 species
GACGAACGCUGGCGGCGUGCCUAAUACAUGCAAGUAGAACGCUGAAGCGAGGAGCUUGCUCUUCUUGGAUGAGUUGCGAACGGGUGAGUAACGCGUAGGUAACCUGCCUUGUAGCGGGGGAUAACUAUUGGAAACGAUAGCUAAUACCGCAUAACAAUGGAUGACACAUGUCAUUUAUUUGAAAGGGGCAAUUGCUCCACUACAAGAUGGACCUGCGUUGUAUUAGCUAGUAGGUGAGGUAAUGGCUCACCUAGGCGACGAUACAUAGCCGACCUGAGAGGGCGAUCGGCCACACUGGGACUGAGACACGGCCCAGACUCCUACGGGAGGCAGCAGUAGGGAAUCUUCGGCAAUGGGGGCAACCCUGACCGAGCAACGCCGCGUGAGUGAAGAAGGUUUUCGGAUCGUAAAGCUCGGUUGUAAGUCAAGAACGGGUGUGAGAGUGGAAAGUUCACACUGUGACGGUAGCUUACCAGAAAGGGGCGGCUAACUACGUG